CCUACGGGUGUCAGCAGUGGGGAAUAUUGCACAAUGGGGGAAACCCUGCUGCAGCGACGCCGCGUGAGUGAAGAAGUAAUUCGUUAUGUAAAGCUCUAUCAGCAGGGAAGAAAAUGACGGUACCUGAGUAAGAAGCCCCGGCUAACUACGUGCCAGCAGCCGCGGUAAUACGUAGGGGGCUAGCGUUAUCCGGAAUUACUGGGCGAAAAGGGUGCGUAGGUGGUUUCUUAAGUCAGAGGUGAAAGGCUACGGCUCAACCGUAGUAAGCCUUUGAAAGUGGGGAACUUGAGUGCAGGAGAGGAGAGUGGAAUUCCUAGUGUAGCGGUGAAAUGCGUAGAUAUUAGGAGGAACACCAGUUGCGAAGGCGGCUCUCUGGACUGUAACUGACACUGAGGCACGAAAGCGUGGGGAGCAAACAGGAUUAGAUACCCGGGUAGUC
rnacentral:rRNA from 1 species